UCCAGUGCUCUGGAGAAGUUCUCUAGAGCAGCUUUGAAAGCUCGCAGCAGGAAAGCUCCAAGUUCGUUGCUUGUUUCUUGGAUAUCUGGGUCGAAACUUCCAAAGAGGGGCGUGCACACCUGGAUGUCGCCCCGACCAGCCCGAAGCAGCACUGCACGGAGGUCCUCGGCAAUCGCGUCAUAUUUCUGCUGGUCGAACUUGGACAUGGCCAGGUCGUCCUGGGGGUAGGCAGUACCCUCAGGGUAGCAGUCCUUGGGCACUGGGAACUCUGCACGCCGCAGUUUGGGCAGCUCGCAGAGAGCCACGAAGAGGCGCCUCAGGGCCCGGGCUGACAGGGGGUUCCCCAGGAAGCGGAGCUCGCACAGCUCAUGGCAGGGGCUCAGGGCCAGGAUCAGCAUGUUCACGUGGCUGUCUUCGAUGUCGCAUUCCUCCACGGUGAGGACCCUCAGCGUCUGGGCGGCCCGGCCCAGCAGCCGGAAGAAGGUGGAGGGGAACAGGCUGAACAGGCUGUGCCCACUGAGGUCGAGGACCUCCAGGUGCGCGGCAUGGGUGCAGUCUGCCAAGAAGGCCAUAUCUUCAUGGUUCAGGGAGCAGUUGGCCAGGUCCAGGGUCCUCAGUGGUGUCCGUAGGGGGCUAGGGCAGGGCAAGAAACAGCACAGGUGAGGGGCAGUCCCAGGAGGACCUCUGGGAGGAAUUAAGAUGAAUUCUAGCUCAGGAGUCAGCAGACGGCCCAAAGGCAGAGUCCACUGCGUCCUGGUCUUACUCAACCAGACUGUAAAAUGGUUUUUACAUCUUUAAACAAUGGAACAAAUCACAAGAAGAAUGAUACUCUGUGACAUGUGGGAAUAAUACAAAACUCAAUUUUUAGUGUCCAUAAGUAAAGCAUCAAUUAGAAUGAGGGUUGCUCAGUUGUGUACUGUGGAGCAAGGAGGGGAAGGGCCAUGCAGCCAUCCAGCCCAGCUUUCCUACAGCCUGGUACCUGCAGCCCCUCCCACGUGCUGAGGCCAGCAUCAGCAGAUGCACAGCUAUGGGGAGACCCUGCUCUGAGCAGCAGGUCUCAAGGAGCUUGUGAAAAACACACUUUCUCAAUGUACCCCACCCUGGGGAUAUUUGGUUUGGGUCUGAUGCCACCAGGCUGAGCACUCGCUGCAGGAGAGCCUGUGGGGGGCCCCACACCUGUGCCGCUGCGUGCUGAGAGCUGGCUGUCUGCCCACCACACUGUCCUUCCCCAGCCCCUCCUUCCGGGUCUGUGUUGCGGGCCAGAGUGGCCCUCGUGAAUAAGGAGGUGACCAUGCCAUCCUCCUGCUCACAACCUCCAGGGGCUGUGAUGCUCCACCUCCCCACACUGCCCUGCCGUCUGACCCCAACCUUCUCUCUGCUGACCCUUGACCCGUCCAUGUCAGCGCCUCUCGCCAGCCUGCCACUCUAUGCAACUCUAUGCCACCCCAGGGAGUCGGCCUUCCCUGACCCCCGGCCCUCCCGUGCUCCCACAGGGGACCCACUGACCAGCUCCAAGCCAACACGGUCUGCAGAAGCGGUGAGCUGCAUAUGCAGCUCCCGCCUGGUGUUCUCUGAUUCUCGGAUCAGCCGCCCUGUCCUGAGGACUCCCAGGAGCCACAGUGCAGAGGUAGACCCUGAACAGCCACAUCUGAACGUGGACAUGGACGACCCCACCCUUCCAGCCCACCAAGCCUUCGGAGGAGACCACAGCCCAGUGGACCCAGUGGAGCUGGUUCUUGAAGACUCACCCAAGCAGUUUCGGAAUCUUUCCUGUCAGCGUGGAGAAGGCCACACUCAGCUCGUUGAGCUGGCUCAUCUGGCUGAGCUCCCAGGCGAUGGAGUUUGGAUCGAAUCAGCAUUGAAAAAAUGAAGAAAACAUCCUAUAGUAGCUGGAAAUGGCAAGGUCACCAUGGUGAGCACCCAGGUGACCCCAGCCCCUGCCCCACGUGGCUGCCGCUCUGAGGACACCUCGCAGCAUGAAGCUCAUUCAAGGCCUGGCAUCCACCCAGGCUCCUCCAUCUGGUGUGGGGUGGUCCUCUUGGGGCCCCGGACACACCCCAGACCUCAGGCCCAGCUGCUGUGCCCUCACCCCAACCUGGGUCCCUGGCCACAGGUCACUACCUUAUUAAAAACGAAAGAAAACCGAGAUUCCAAAUAUACUCAGAGGUGUCCCUGUGCCUGGUGUCCACUCAGUGGGGCUGCUCCAGGGGACCAUUGCCCAUGGGCCUGUGUUGCCUGGAAGACUGGGGAAACCCCGGUCCCAGAGGGCUUGUUGGGCCCUGAGACCAUCCAAGCCCGCCCGGACCUCCCCACGGGAACUGAGGUAUCGCCAGCUCCCACCCCAACCUUGGUGCAGCAGUCAGAGUGGCAGGGCCACCUGAGCCCCCAGACUGGGUGGAGGGCUAUGCAGGGGGGAUGCACAAAGGCAGGCGGGGCCCGGGCCGUGCUGACCCCAUGGCCAGUGGCUGAGGUGGGGGUGCACCAGGAGCCCCCAGCAGGACAGCCUCAGGCCACAGUGGAGGCUCCUGUGCUCCCUGUGACGGGAUUGUCCUGGAGGGGCUCAUUCUCUUCCAUAUAAGUCACGGCUGGGAAAGGAAGGACAUCCUGACUCAGACGCCGCGGCCCUCUCCCUCCCUCCCACCAGGUGCCCAGGCUGUGCGUGGCAUCGAGUCUGUGUCUGGGAGGUGCUGCGGAGCCCUUGCACCCCUAGGGUGCUCUCAGACUCACAGACACACAUCCUGUUACAGAAGUAGUUGCCUGGACGGACAAGGUCAGGGAAACAGACAAGAGGGUGUCCCCUGCGAGGCUGGGUCCCUCCUGGGUGGUGCCCCUGGCUCUGGGCCCAGACAGAGCCUGCCGGGGGGCCACCUUGGCUGGCAUUGUGAUGCGUCUUAGAGUAAGAGGGUUCUGGUCCCACAAUGUGUGAGUCCUGUGUUUGCUGUUCUGAUCCCAGAACAUGAGAACACAAGGGCAUGUGAGCUUGGCGCAGCCUCUGCAGGGGCUCCAGGCCUGGCCUACAAGUGGGAGGCGGGGAAGCCUCUGUUCUCAGGACAGUCCCGACACGGGGGUGCCCUCCCGACAGAGGGAGUCUGGGGCAGGCAGAGCUGAUCUCCACCGGCUCCCACAGAGGCUGAGGGCCCCCUCCUCUUGGAGGGAUACCCGAGCUCUCACAAGUAACCAUACCACCCUCUUGGGUAUGUGGUUUCAAGGGGGCAUAGGCACAGGGUCCUGGGGAAGUUGGCCUGGGGGUGCAGCCUUGCUGGCCAGGGCGCCCCUCCUGGGGGGCCGUUAACAUCCAGCCAUGUACUGUGCUUGGAGCAUCUGGCACAGGGUGGAGACCUGGCCAGGGAGUCUGGCUGGUUGUGGCACCCAGCACCUUAGGGUGACCAAGGAUGAGUGAACCCUCCCAUCACUUCAGGGGGAGCCAGGACACCCCCUCUCCUGGGGAGUGUUUUGCUCGAUGGUCAAACCACUGCCCAGAAGCCUUUGUCUGGCAGAAGGAGAGGACGUCACGGAUCAGAGCCCAUGUCACUUGUCAUCAGUCGUCCAGAAGAUCUCUGUGAAAGACACUGGUGGCUCCCUCUCCCUGGUCUCCCCCAUGCCUCCCCUCAGGGUGUGUCCGGGCUCAUCUGUGCCCUCAGUGGCAGGCUGGCCCCCAUGCUGGCCGUGGGCCCUGGACACGGGGGUCUCAGGAGGGGGGACUCACAGUCAUGGAGUCCUGGCUGUGCCGCUGCAGCUGGGAGCCCCUCCUGGGAUGGCAGAGGAGGCGCUCGGGUGGCCCUCUUCACGCAAUGGCCCAGGGAGCCCGAGGCCACUGUCCCCCGGUAACAUGUACUCAGUCACUGCAAAGAGAAGCGGGGUCAGGGCUGGCUGCCCUCAGCACUCAGGGCCCUCUGAUGUGUCAACAGACAUCACCAGCAGACUGAUGACAGGAUGUUUGUGAGGCCGGGUCAGGGCAGGCAGACCGGGGCUGGAGUGCAGACACCAUGUGAGCAAGUGUCCACCGACCCUGCUCCUGUGAAAUCAUCCGACAAGGGAGGUGCUCAGUGGCCUCUCCCCUCUACCAGGCGGCUCAGAGGUGAAAACAGAACACCAGGCCCAGGAAAGACCAUGUGGCUUAAAGGAACCUCAGAGCAGGACGGGACCAGGUCUCCGCCCCAAAGGGCUGCGGGAACCUGUCCACUGUCACCGCAUGUGAAGCUGUGGCCAUGGCCCUGCCAUGCACGCACCACCUCCUGCCUGAGUGGCUUCUGGGGGCUCCACCCCGGCUUCGGGACGGGGAUCACAGCACUGUCUGUGCAGGAGCCACAGUGGCUGAGCACAACCCCUGGCCCCGACCAUCACGGCUAGUGGGGCUCCUCGGGGGAAAGAGAGCCCCACCUCCAGACUCAGGCUUCCCUGUGGGACAUGCCAGCCCUGCAGGGGCUGGGGAGGACACCGCCGGGGAGGUGCCACGGCUCUGGGAUGGCAGUGUGGAGUGCCCAGCUGUGCUCCCCGUGGGCCCGUCCAGGACACAAGCCUGACCCAGGUGGCUGCUGCCAUUCUGAGCAGGUGCGCAGCCCCCUGCACACCUGGCCCACACCCAGGAUUCAGGGCAACGCCUCCACCUGGGCAGAGACACGACUGUGGUCAGCCGGUGCCCUCAAAGACGCUGUCGCUGGGGCACAGGUACACUGGAGGCUUGGGGGGACACAUGUCCCAGGCAGCAUCACUCUGAGGAGGGUCCUCACCUGGGUGGUGUUACUGUGGGGUGACGGGUACUGUGGGGGGUACUGCAGGGUACUUU